GAGGUUAUAGCUCAGUGGUAGAGUGAGUGCCUAGCAUGAACAAGGUCCUGGGUUCAGACCCCAGCACCUCCA
rnacentral:tRNA from 1 species